rnacentral:rRNA from 2 species
UAAGCAUAUCAAUAAGCGGAGGAAAAGAAACCAACAGGGAUUGCCCCAGUAACGGCGAGUGAAGCGGCAACAGCUCAAAUUUGAAAUCUGGCUCUCGGGCCCGAGUUGUAAUUUGUAGAGGAUGCUUUUGGUGAGGUGCCUUCCGAGUUCCCUGGAACGGGACGCCAUAGAGGGUGAGAGCCCCGUCUGGUUGGACACCGAUCCUCUGUAAAGCUCCUUCGACGAGUCGAGUAGUUUGGGAAUGCUGCUCUAAAUGGGAGGUAUAUGUCUUCUAAAGCUAAAUACCGGCCAGAGACCGAUAGCGCACAAGUAGAGUGAUCGAAAGAUGAAAAGAACUUUGAAAAGAGAGUUAAACAGUACGUGAAAUUGUUGAAAGGGAAGCGCUUGUGACCAGACUUGGGCUUGGUUGAUCAUCCGGGGUUCUCCCCGGUGCACUCUUCCGGCUCAGGCCAGCAUCAGUUCGCCCUGGGGGACAAAGGCUUCGGGAAUGUGGCUCUCUCCGGGGAGUGUUAUAGCCCGUUGCGUAAUACCCUGUGGCGGACUGAGGUUCGCGCAUUCGCAAGGAUGCUGGCGUAAUGGUCAUCAGUGACCCGUCUUGAAACACGGACCAAGGAGUCGUCUUCGUAUGCGAGUGUUCGGGUGUCAAACCCCUACGCGAAAUGAAAGUGAACGCAGGUGAGAGCUUCGGCGCAUCAUCGACCGAUCCUGAUGUUAUCGGAUGGAUUUGAGUAAGAGCAUACGGGGCCGGACCCGAAAGAAGGUGAACUAUGCCUGUGUAGGGUGAAGCCAGAGGAAACUCUGGUGGAGGCUCGCAGCGGUUCUGACGUGCAAAUCGAUCGUCAAACAUGGGCAUGGGGGCGAAAGACUAAUCGAACCUUCUAGUAGCUGGUUUCCGCC